GACAUCAUCCCCAUGAAGUCAUCAUUCACAUUUAAUUUAAUUCAUUUUAUGGUAAAAGUACAGAACAGAAAUCAAUAACACUUGAGCUGAGGUGUCCAAAUUACCUGAAUGCACCGAUUACCGAUUAUUAAAAUAAUGUAACUUGGUUACAAUCAAUUAGUUUUGGAUUAAUAACAAAUGAAGACCAGAGAAAUUAAAUAUCAAUAAAAAAGUAGCUUUUUGUGUAUCCUGUUAACAAGUGUUUAUCUGUGUUUGUUCGAUUACUUUUUAUCUUAACAUUUGACAAGAGAAGUUGCAGUAAAUAUGAUGCAGUUGAGUUUCCCCAGCAGAGACUCGAACUCAUGAUAAAAGCUGACUCUCUGAACACAGAACUCCUCCUCUACCACAGAGCUAAAGUACUCUGCAGGGCUACAGAAUUCUCUCUUUUUUUUAAAUGACGUAAACCACUUCAAAUAAGUCCAGCCCACAGGUUUUCUGACGAAUCCAUGUCGUGCAUGCCAAAAGGGGCGGUCUUGCUCGUUUCCCGCGCGAAAUUAGCGCAUUUCCCUCCAAAAAGUUAGAUGUGUAUAUAUGUAGCUGACUGAUCUUCACUCUGGUCUCUUCUCUGAGGACACGAACACGGUGAAGAGUGGGACUUGUCUUCUGCUUCAGGUGGAACGGCUCUGACCUGUAUGGUGAUCAGCGCUGGAGAGGAGAGACACCUGGUCCAACAAGGUGACAGAUGAGCCGCCACAGAACCUGAAGCAGGAAAACUGAGUAUCCAUCUUCUGAUGAAACUCCUUUAGGUCCUGCAGUUGUUUGUUGACUCUGGUUUCACCUGCUCAGACAGUGAGCACUGUUGUCGUUGCUGGUUAUUUACAUAAUAAAUUGAUAAUUACA